AGUGAUUGCCCUAGUAACGGCGAGUGAAGCGGCAACAGCUCAAAUUUGAAAGCUGGCCUUCGGGUCCGCAUUGUAAUUUGUAGAGGAUGCUUUGGGGCAGCCGCCUGUCUAAGUUCCUUGGAACAGGACGUCAUAGAGGGUGAGAAUCCCGUAUGUGACAGGACAUGGCACCCUAUGUAAAGCUCCUUCGACGAGUCGAGUUGUUUGGGAAUGCAGCUCUAAAUGGGAGGUAAAUUUCUUCUAAAGCUAAAUAUUGGCGAGAGACCGAUAGCGCACAAGUAGAGUGAUCGAAAGAUGAAAAGCACUUUGGAAAGAGAGUUAAAAAGCACGUGAAAUUGUUGAAAGGGAAGCGCUUGCAAUCAGACUUGUUUAAACUGUUCGGCCGGUCUUCUGACCGGUUUACUCAGUUUGGACAGGCCAGCAUCAGUUUCGGCGGCCGGAUAAAGGCUCUGGGAAUGUGGCCUCCACUUCGGUGGAGGUGUUAUAGCCCAGGGUGUAAUACGGCCAGCCGGGACUGAGGUCCGCGCUUCGGCUAGGAUGCUGGCGUAAAAUGCCUUG
rnacentral:rRNA from 1 species